rnacentral:rRNA from 1 species
AGCAGCCGCGGUAAUUCCAGCUCCAAUAGCGUAUAUUAAAGUUGCUGCAGUUAAAAAGCUCGUAGUUGAAUUUCGGGACCAUCAUGUCGGUCGUGCCUCGGUACGUACUGGCAUCGUCGGUUUCUCCCUUCUGACGAACCAUGAUGUCAUUUAUUUGGUGUCGUGGGGAAUCAGGACUGUUACUUUGAAAAAAUUAGAGUGUUUAAAGCAGGCUCACGCUUGAAUACAUUAGCAUGGAAUAAUGAAAUAGGACGUUUGAUUCUAUUUUGUUGGUUUCUAGGAUCGACGUAAUGACUAAUAGGGAUAGUUGGGGGCAUUAGUAUUCAAUUGUCAGAGGUGAAAUUCUUGGAUUUAUUGAAGACUAACUACUGCGAAAGCAUUUGCCAAGGAUGUUUUCAUUAAUCAAGAACGAAAGUUAGGGGAUCGAAGACGAUCAGAUACCGUCGUAGUCUUAACCAUAAACUAUGCCGACUAGGGAUCGGAUGAUGUUAAUUUUUUAAUGACUCAUUCGGCGCCUUACG